rnacentral:rRNA from 1 species
UACAGAGGGUGCGAGCGUUAAUCGGAAUUACUGGGCGUAAAGCGUGCGUAGACGGUCAAGUAAGUCGGGUGUGAAAGCCCCGGGCUCAACCUGGGAAAUUGCAUUCGAGACUGCGUGGCUAGGGUGCGGAAGAGGGAAGCGGAAUUUCCGGUGUAGCGGUGAAAUGCGUAGAUAUCGGAAGGAACACCGGUGGCGAAGGCGGCUACCUGGACAGAAACUGACGCUGAGGCGCGAAAGCUAGGGGAGCAAACAGG